UACGGGGGGGGCAAGCGUUGUUCGGAAUUACUGGGCGUAAAGGGCUCGUAGGCGGCCAACUAAGUCGGAUGUGAAAUCCCCAGGCUCAACCUGGGAACUGCAUCCGAUACUGGAUGGCUUGAAUCCGGGAGAGGGAUGCAGAAUUCCAGGUGUAGCGGUGAAAUGCGCAGAUAUCAUUUGGAACGCCAAAGGUGAAAACAGACGGCUGGGAGUGUGCUGACGCUGAGACACGAAAGCCAGGGGAGCGAACGGG
rnacentral:rRNA from 1 species